rnacentral:rRNA from 1 species
AGCGAACGCUGGCGGCAGGCCUAACACAUGCAAGUCGAACGAACCUUCGGGUUAGUGGCGGACGGGUGAGUAACACGUGGGAACGUGCCUUUUGGUUCGGAACAACUCAGGGAAACUUGAGCUAAUACCGAAUGUGCCCUUCGGGGGAAAGAUUUAUCGCCAUUAGAGCGGCCCGCGUCUGAUUAGCUUGUUGGUGAGGUAAAGGCUCACCAAGGCUACGAUCAGUAGCUGGUCUGAGAGGAUGAUCAGCCACAUUGGGACUGAGGCACGGCCCAAACUCCUACGGGAGGCAGCAGUGGGGAAUCUUGCGCAAUGGGCGAAAGCCUGACGCAGCCAUGCCGCGUGAAUGAUGAAGGUCUUAGGAUUGUAAAAUUCUUUUCACCGGGGACGAUAAUGACGGUACCCGGAGAAGAAGCCCGGCUAACUUCGUG